rnacentral:rRNA from 1 species
AUUGAACGCUGGCGGCAGGCCUAACACAUGCAAGUCGAGCGGAUGAAGGGAGCUUGCUCCUGGAUUCCGCGGCGGACGGGUGAGUAAUGCCUAGGAAUCUGCCUGGUCGUGGGGGAUAACGUCCGGAAACGGGCGCUAAUACCGCAUCCGUCCUGAGGGAGAACGUGGGGGAUCUUCGGACCUCACGCUAUCAGCUGAGCCUAGGUCGGAUUAGCUAGUUGGUGGGGUAAGGGCCUACCAAGGCGACGAUCCGUAACUGGUCUGAGAGGAUGAUCAGCCACACUGGAACUGAGACACGGUCCAGACUCCUACGGGAGGCAGCAGUGGGGAAUAUUGGACAAUGGGCGAAAGCCUGAUCCAGCCAUGCCGCGUGUGUGAAGAAGGUCUUCGGAUUGUAAAGCACUUUAAGUUGGGAGGAAGGGCAGUAAGUUAAUACCUGGCUGUUUUGACGUUACCAACAGAAUAAGCACCGGCUAACUUCGUG